UAGUAGUAGUGUCUCCUGACCUGUUGCUGGGUUGACAUUAUCAUUGAAGCAAUAAACAAAAGUGUAAUGGUGGUGAUGACUGGAAUUAUGGCGGUAAUGAUAAGUGACUGUGGUGAUGACAAGGCUUAUGGCGGUAGUGACGAUGUUAGUGACGAAGAGGGUGAUGGUGGUGGUGGUGGUGGAGACGAUCAGCCAUCAUAAAUCGUGUGUAGUGGUCGUGGAGGCGGUGGAGUGGCGCAAGAUUUGUGUGGCGUGACGGGGCGCGUGUAAACUGGUUCAUGAGUCUUAGUAAACAGGGGGAGGAAGGGCGCUGGUGCUCACACACAAACAAAAGCACUGUUUGUUGUGCCAGGCCCGACCCCACGCUGAGGAGAAGACAGGCACGCCGACAGACAGACAGCCACACAGAUAAACGAGGAAAAUUCCUGACUGACGCGGAAUUAAUUCGUAAAUGUGCGAGUGUACUGUUGGGAUGAUAUGCAAUUGUUUCGUGAUUCACUGUUAUAACUCUGGAAUAUUUAAAGAUACUGUAUUUACUGAGACUAUAAGUAACAGGAAGAGAGAGAUUUUUUUUUCUUUUUAAUCAGGGUUGGCAUUUCUCGACAAAGAUUUCAGGGUUAAAGGUCAAAGUGGUCAGGAGGGUAAGGCAAGAUUCCACUACACUCUAAAAAAAAAAAAAAACUCUAUCACUCUACAUACGCAGGUUACUUAUUAGGACUUUUCCCACUGCCUUAUACUAGUACUGUUUAGGUUUGGUUUAUUCAUGUCUGUCUGUUGCAGCCUCCCUGUCGGUCACUCUCCUGGUUGGUCUUUCAGUCUUAAUGGUGCACAGUAAACCCGUCUAAUAUCUUAAGCAGAAACCCCCACAGGCACUGGCUAAUGAUGGGAGGGUUUCCUUACAGCCAUGCAAGAUUGAUUUAGAACACAGCACAGAUUACCUUCAGCAGGGCAGUCAGAAAAGUGAGAUUAUUAGCAAGGGCAAGCCAAGAUUUCUUUUUUUACACAGGUACACAUCAAGGUAGGUACUGUGUGAUGGGGGGAAUAUUCUUACAGCCAUGCAUGAUUGAUUUAGAAGACGGCACAAAUUACCUUCAGGCGUUCAGUCAGAAUACCAGAAUUACUAUGACCGGAGCAAAGCAAGAUUUCAAUAACAUAAAAGUAUUGGUUAAUGAUGGAGAAGUAUUCUUACAGCCAUGCAUGAUUGAUUUUGAGGACAGUAAAAAAAUAGUAAGAUUAUUAACAAGAGCAAGGCAAGAUUAUUAUUUUUUUUUUUUUACAUGCGUCAACGAGCAAGGUUUAUCAGCGACACGGACUAAUGUUUAGAGAAGUGGUAGACAGUCAUAUGAUUUAUCACUAAUACAACACGAGAGCUGCUCAUGACUAACCGCCGCACUGCAACAGUUGUUUCUUUCUAAUCAAGGCUGAAGAUCAAGUUUUGUCCUGCGGGUGUCAUCCCCCAAAACAGCCCCGGCAGCGAAGCACCAGAUAGUGAACACACAAGCACACUAGUAUCGCGCAGUAAAACACCAACACUUUCCAGGAUCUUUAUCAGACCCAAACGAAAUACCUACGACUAAAUUCGAAAGCGUGCUAAGUUCCAUGCAUGUGUCUCUCUUCAAAGUGAUCCCAUCUAGCUACAAGAGGAGACUCAUCACGGGAGAGGGCAGAACGCACGCGGGCAGUGGAGCCUGCAGCAAGGUGAUUCAACUGCUCUCCCAAAGACUGUGAAACAUUUGAGGCAGAUUGUUCCUGCAGCUCCAUGCUGCCCCCACUGUUGCCCAGCCGUACAGCAUCAACUAUGAUGUAUGCUGCUACA